rnacentral:rRNA from 1 species
AAAUGAAUUGACGGGGACCCGCACAAGCAGCGGAGCAUGUGGUUUAAUUCGAAGCAACGCGAAGAACCUUACCAGGACUUGACAUCCUCUGCAUUAGCCGUAAUGGGUAAAAUCCCUUCGGGGACAGAGAGACAGGUGGUGCAUGGUUGUCGUCAGCUCGUGUCGUGAGAUGUUGGGUUAAGUCCCGCAACGAGCGCAACCCUUGUCUUUAGUUGCCAGCACUUCGGGUGGGCACUCUAAAGAGACUGCCAAGGUUAACUUGGAGGAAGGUGGGGAUGACGUCAAAUCAUCAUGCCCCUUAUGUUCUGGGCUACACACGUGCUACAAUGGCUGGUACAACGGGCAGCGAACCCGUAAGGGGAAGCAAAUCCUAAAAGCCAGUCUCAGUUCGGAUUGUGGGCUGCAACCCGCCCACAUGAAGCUGGAGUUGCUAGUAAUCGUGGAUCAGAAUGCCGCGGUGAAUGCGUUCCCGGGUCUUGUACACACCGCCCGU